ensembl:ncRNA F28F9.14 ncRNA
UUAGGGUAGCUACACUUUGCCAGCUAAGGCCAAACUUUGGACAAGUUCCAAAUUUCACUUGAGAGCUAAUGCGAACUUGUAAACUUUAGUUGAAAAUUGACUUUGGAAACUGCCUGUCAGAUUUUUGUAGACUAUUGUCAACCGUAGUA